GCCAACUACCAGUGGCCUUAGCUGGUGUAUAAAGUAAAAAAAAAUGGUUAAAUAUUCUUUAAGAUACGACUUAACGCGGGUAACAAGUAAAAUGCAAUUAUUUUCGGGCAAGAUCCAAAUGCAUCGUCCACGUCUAUGACGACUUCGUCGGUCGAUUUCUAAUACUAGAAAACAAGAAUCGGCAUUAUGUGAUCAAAAUCACAUUCAAUAUACAUUAUAAUUUGAUUUAACGGAUGCGACUGUAAAUUAGUAAUAAUUUUGUGGACGAGAACAAACACAAAAAUCAUCAUGAUUGGUGGAAAUGUCGAAGAAAAAUGUAAUAAGAAGAAAGAAUUAUUAAAAACAAUAAUUAAAAUAGUACAGGACCAUAGUACAACACACUGUUGUGUUCGACGAAGGCGAUAUUACAAGCUUAAAAAGAUCUGCGUUGUAUUUAAAAAGUGGAAAACAUUUCGUUGUUAGUACAACUCUCGAUCAACUUCCCCUUACUCAUCCCGUACAUAUUACUAACCCAACACGAAACACAAUUGUUUAUGGACGUAGGAGUUGAUGAAAGGAUAAAAAAUCUGAUGGGGAAAGUGGAGAGGAAGAAAUAUUAGAAAUGGAAGAAAAAGACAUUGGUUAAAUGGUGUGCAUAAUAAUAAUGGUGUUUUGAAGAUUUCUACCGAAAACUCGACUGCUUGAUGCUAAGUCAUCCCAGAAGAGUGAAAUCUCAAAGCAGAUUUAGUUGCAGUAUCAUUCAGGAUGUGGAUUAAGCUUUACCUGGCACAUCUACCUCAAGCAGUUCCGUGAUUGUUCAGUAAUUUCAACUCACUAAAUGUUUAAACUAACUUUAGUUGCCUCAUUCCAAAUUUAAAGAUGAGCUACUGACAAGACCAAGAAAUGUAUCUAUGAGCCCCAUGAGUUCUUACGUGGUGCCAUGUGGAUCGACAGUAGAGGUAGCAAAUAAAAUCAAAAGAUCUGAAAAGAAAAAAUCCACCAGGAAGAAAAAUGAAGAUAAAGAUGAUAAUAAGCCUGUAUUGAACGAUUCUCUAAUCAAAUACUUUAUAUUAGACUGACCUACACUUAACAUUUAAUCUAGGAGAUAAUUUGGUUGUUUGAUAUAGUGAUACACAUACUACUACUUACUAAAGUUCUUAAUGUAUGCAACAUUGAAGGAUAUUACUACGGCCGUUACAAAGGAUGGAAUACUCAUUACUCGUUAGGACAAAUGGAUCAAUUUAACACGCAUUGCAUUGAAAUCUAAACCACCAGAACCAGAUCUUGAUAACGACGGUGACGAUUCUUUACAAAACACUAGAAAUGGAUUCGGCUCAACGUCAAGUGGUGAUUUUUGGCUAAAAUCAACAAACAUCAAAAAGAUUACACCAUGGUCAAAGCGCGCAUUAUGGUGGUGGAUCGCAGGUGAAAGUAGAGCAGGAAACGCAAAAGAGAACUGGCGAAGAAAAACGCCGCAGUGAAAUAAACCGAACAAACAGUCGACAGCUGUUGCAACCAAAUAAUUCUCUCACCUAAUAACAAUACAUUUUAAUAUCGUACUCGCUUGAAAAAAAAUUAUACUGCACAAGUGUGUUUCUAGAUAUUUCGCAGGCCUUUGAUAGGGUAUGGUUUGACGGCCUCCUAUAUAAAUUUAAAAACAAUUUGCAUCCCACUUAUUACCUGUUUUUCAAAUCUUAUUUAACAGAUCGUUUUUUCCAAAUCCGUCAUGGUUCUUCAGUAUCUGAUAUAGCCUCUAUAAAAGCGGGAGUUCCACAAGGAGGUAUUCUAUCUCCAGUCCUAUUCAAUAUCUAUACCUCAGACCAACCCACAACUCCUAACACAAUUGUUGCAGAUUAUGCUGAUGACAAAGCCAUUUUGUCCUGUUACUCUGACCCACAAAUUGCAUCCGUCAAUUUGCAAAAUCAUCUUCAUUUAAUGGAAGACUGGUACACAAAAUGGCGUUUUAAAAUUAAUCAAUCAAAAUCAGUUCAUACUAUUUUUACUCUAAGACUUCUCCCUUGUCCUGGUGUCUCCCUAUACGGAGUACAAAUCUCCUCCUCUUCCUCUGUCAAGUAUCUCGGUCUCACACUAGAUAAACGACUCACAUGGGCUCAGCACAUUAAAAUUAAACGUUUGUCUCUAAAUAGCCGUCCGCGGUUACUCAAAUCAUUAAUAAACAUUAGUAAACAAUAAAUUAAUAAUCAUUAGUAAACAAUAAAUUUACAGAUAUUAAUACAAAACUUCUUAUUUAUAAAACCCAUAUGGACUUAUGGCCUUCAGCUAUGAUGGGGCAAUGCUAAAAAAUCCAAUACCAAUAAAAUUCAAUGCUUUCAAAAUAAUGUCUUAAGAAAAUUAAUCAAUGCACCUCCUUAUAUCUCUAAUUAUACACUCCAUAACGACCUUAACUUAAAAACAGUCCUUGAAGAAGCUAUCUCCUACUAUAAAAGAUUCCACAUUAAACUACUCUCCCACUCUAAUCCCCUUAUAAAAAACCUCUCAACCUUGUCCAUACCUGGAGACCCACCCAGACCUUUAAAACGUAAGUGGUGCCGUGAUCUUCUAUCUAAUAAUAUCAAUUAAUAUUAAUGCAUAAUUAGAUCAAUGUAAAUAUAAGUUUAAAAAUUAAAAAAAAAAAAAAAUCAUUGGAAGUGUCACUAAUGAGUGGUUUCUUCCAUCAAAAUGUACUCAUGUAAUUUAUCUCUACUUUUAUCAUAUAUGCUUAUUGUGCUCGUUGUACAGAUUGUAUAUUUCUGUUGUAAAAUAAAAAAAAAUUUUUUUUUUUAUAAUUAACCCCCUAGUUUUACAUAAUUGUCAGAGUGGCUCCGUAAUGACAAUCGAUUUGUUGUUAAUACU